rnacentral:rRNA from 1 species
AAAUUUGAAAUCUGGCCCCGUCGGGGUCCGAGUUGUAAUUUGUAGAGAGUGUUUCGGGUGAGACCACGGUCUAAGUCUAUUGGAACAUGGCGUCAUAGAGGGUGAGAAUCCCGUAUGUGACCGUGGCUCGAGCCCAUGUGAAGCCUCUUCGACGAGUCGAGUUGUUUGGGAAUGCAGCUCAAAAUGGGUGGUAAAUUUCAUCUAAAGCUAAAUACUGGCUGGAGACCGAUAGCGCACAAGUAGAGUGAUCGAAAGAUGAAAAGCACUUUGGAAAGAGAGUCAAAAAGUACGUGAAAUUGUUGAAAGGGAAGCGCUUGCAACCAGACCUGUCCGUAGGUGAUCAGCCGCUGUUCUCAGCGGUGCACUCGCUCUGCGAUCAGGCCAGCAUCGGUUUCGGCGGCUGGAUAAAGGCCUUGGGAAUGUAGCUUCCUUCGGGGAGUCUUAUAGCCCUCGGUGCAAUGCGGCCAGCCGGGACCGAGGACCGCGCUUCGGCUAGGAUGCUGGCGUAAUGGUUGUAAGCGACCCGUCUUGAAACACGGACCAAGGAGUCUACCAUCUAUGCGAGUGUUUGGGUGUUAAACCCAUGCGCGGAAUGAAAGUGAACGGAGGUGAGAACCCUUUAGGGCGCAUCAUCGACCGAUCCAGAUGUCUUCGGAUGGAUUUGAGUAUGAGCAUAGCUGGUGGGACCCGAAAGAUGGUGAACUAUACUUGAAUAGGGUGAAGCCAGAGGAAACUCUGGUGGAGGCUCGCAGCGGUUCUGACGUGCAAAUCGAUCGUCAAAUUUGAGUAUAGGGGUAAGUUUUACUCCUAGAGGUCCCCAGAUCCAAUGCUAACUUUUUGAUACAGGCGAAAGACUAAUCGAACCAUCCCUUUUUAGUAGUUAAGACUACGAUCUAUAUGCUACAGGUGGUUAAUCCGAGCGUUUCGCGUGCGAGCGCUCUUAGUCCUCCGGGGCGACAUCACUACUUGCAUGAACACACCUCAGGGUUGACAUGCCGCAGUUUCUCCCACUCAUCUGGGGCCUCUGUUCACAGACCAAAUGGUGGUGGCCGGGCACUCCUCUCAGGGGCGCUUGGUUUAGAAAUGGCCGAGUCCUACUCCUAAUCGAGUCGGUCUUGGGACGGUGGA